CUUCCGCGGCUCUUGACGUUAUGACGCUACUGCGUCAAAAGGAGGGGCAUCUGCUUCUGGAGGGAGGUUGACCCAUCCCGGGAACUGAAACCUUGCAAAGCAAAACCAAGCUAAAACCCUCCACAAGGGGGGGGGACCGCUGCGUUUGUUCACCGCUCUAGUCCAGUUCCCAGCAAACACAAGCAUCCGGAUGCAAUGCUUUUGCUGUAUUUGUGAGUUAAAUUCAAGCAAGCUCUUACCAAGAAAGCAAGCUGUGUCAGUAUAGAGGCUGGACAAAGAAGAAAGUAAUGAGCUAUGAAAAAGUCCUGAAUGAAGACUUUAGAAGAAUUUCAAAGGAUGAGAAGUGUCCAGUUAUAGGAAGGAUAAGGUCUGAGCUGGUGGAGAAGUGAACCUAGCAACCUGGUGUUCCAGAAGAAGGGACUUUUGCCCAGAGUCAUACCUUUGUCAAAUAUACACAAGACAGGUCAGCUGUCUUCUGUUUACCAGUGGACCACAAAAUAAUCCAUCAAAAGACAGGUGUAGUAUAAGAUGGAAACCAAAGCUUAUCACCACACCUCCAAUCCAGUCUGCCUCCAGAAGUAUAACUAAGACUUAAAGACCUUAGGAAAACAGUGGCGAAAGGGCCAGGACAGAAAGGAGCAGGAGGAAGCCACUUUAAGGAGUGGAGUGAUAGAUACAGUCUGGCUGGAGCUUUAAGAAGGUCACACUGGCAGAAACAGCCUAUGAAAAAAUGCUCGUUGAGUAUGCAAUUUACCAAAAAGCCACUCACAUCAUUGAUGGCACGGAUGUAGUUCUGAUGUGAAUGCCAGCGGAUACUUUUGUUUACAUUAAUGAAUAAAACAGCGAAACAACAGAAACAUAUGUUAGCACAUGACUCACUCGUCAGUGACAUGAGGAUCACUUCCUGGUGGAUGACAGUUUUGAAUACUAGAAGAGACAACAUGCCUCCCGGCUCCACCACUGGCACCACCACCACCACCUCUGACGCGAGAGAAGAAAUGUCUCUGGAAGUACCCCUCUCCAGCGCCGUCAUUUUGAGCACCUUCCUGCAAGAGCAUAGCCCAGAAAUUCUGGACCUUCCUGGCAUGACCGAUCUCAUGGAGUUCCUAUGUCCUGGGCCCUCCCCUAACAGCAACAAACCCGACGACAUGGCCAUGUGGCAGCCUUCAUCGGGGACAAGAUGGAAGUCAGGUGGAUGCUGUCCCACAUCGGCGAGCUGCCCGGGCUGGCCAGGAGAAAUGAAUUCAUCAUACCUCUGGGGUCGUUACUGGUUAACUGCCGGCACCAAGGCCUCGCUGGGCCUGCUCUCCUGGCCCCGCAUCGUACAUGCGGUGGCCCGUCCCGGGAAGGAGCCUUCCCCUCCCAGAUGGGCCAUAGGUGGGCAUCGGGGGAGUGCUGGCCGCACCCCCAUGUCUGUGAUGCCCAUGGCAAAGAGAAAAUCUGCUGGGAUAGAUUUCUGAGAGGUAGGAGAGCUCAAUAAAAUGUUGGUUUCAAAAACAAA